rnacentral:rRNA from 1 species
UACGAAGGGGGCUAGCGUUGCUCGGAAUCACUGGGGCGUAAAGCGCACGUAGGCGGCUUGUUAAGUCAGGGGUGAAAUCCUGGAGCUCAACUCCAGAACUGCCUUUGAUACUGGCGAGCUUGAGUUCGGGAGAGGUGAGUGGAACUGCGAGUGUAGAGGUGAAAUUCGUAGAUAUUCGCAAGAACACCAGUGGCGAAGGCGGCUCACUGGCCCGAUACUGACGCUGAGGUGCGAAAGCGUGGGGAGCAAACAGG